GACGAACGCUGGCGGCGUGCCUAAUACAUGCAAGUUGAGCGCUGAAGGUUGGUACUUGUACCAACUGGAUGAGCAGCGAACGGGUGAGUAACGCGUGGGGAAUCUGCCUUUGAGCGGGGGACAACAUUUGGAAACGAAUGCUAAUACCGCAUAAAAACUUUAAACACAAGUUUUAAGUUUGAAAGAUGCAAUUGCAUCACUCAAAGAUGACCCCGCGUUGUAUUAGCUAGUUGGUGAGGUAAAGGCUCACCAAGGCGAUGAUACAUAGCCGACCUGAGAGGGUGAUCGGCCACAUUGGGACUGAGACACGGCCCAAACUCCUACGGGAGGCAGCAGGAGGGAAUCUUCGGCAAUGGACGAAAGGCUGACCGAGCAACGCCGCGUGAGUGAAGAAGGGUUUCGGAUCGGAAAACUCUGUUGGUAGAGAAGAACGUUGGUGAGAGUGGAAAGCUCAUCAAGUGACGGUAACUACCCAGAAAGGGACGGCUAACUACGUG
rnacentral:rRNA from 1 species